UAGAAAUCCCUUCCCCUGCUCAGAAAACCCUGGAUAUUUUGAAAACAGAUUCAGAUGUCCUUUCCCACAGAAAAGGGAGAAAGCUUGCAUCAAGGUGUGUGUGUGUGUGUGUGUGUGUGUGUGUGUGUGUGUGUGUGUGUGUGUGUAUACCGAGCUUCAGAGAUGGAGUUUGAACACUGUCCUCUGUUUCUUAGUAAACACUGCAGUAUCAUUUUCUCCCUCACCUUCAUUUUCUCCUUGACACAGGAACUGUUUGCGUCAUCUGGAAAAAUCAAGACUCUCACGUUGGCAGGCAGCUGCCCUUGGAAGCCCAGGGAUGGGAUUUUUCCAGGGCCAGAAGACAGAAAGUUCAACUGCAUGAUAUCUACUUCCUGUCUCCCAAUGUCAUGGGCACAGGAAGGGAUAAUGGUAGUCAUUCACAACAUUUGCUAUGGAAACAAGUGACCAGCCAUGCAAGAGGUGAUGACCAUUACUUCCACAAAGGCUAAGUAAGCACCAGAGUGGGCACUAGCCUUCUCCAGUUGACCGAGAAGUAGAAGAAAUCACACUGGGUGCACACACUUGCACCCUGAGCUGCGCUGACUCUACUUGCCCCGAUCAACAGGACAGAAAUGAUUGCUCACCCAGCUUCAUGUGCCACCAUAUGGAAUGAAGACAAUUACUGUCUACUCAGUUUCAGAAUUGGGGAAAGAAAUUGCACGUGCAGACAUGGCUAUAUUAUGCUUUUUUUUACCCCCAGCUAUUUCUUUAUGUCCUUUGGCCCUUUCAGCAGAAGUCCUCUCCCUUCCUACUCAACCCCACCCCAUAUCCACAGUCAAAACUACAAUCAGGCUUAUCUUAGCACUAAAGCCAAGCAAAAAAUACCCAAGUGCUGUAGAAACACUUUAUCCCAAAAGACAUCUUUCUUACAACUCCAAUGAUAUCUUAAUCAAUGAUGACUGGAAGUCUCCUUGUGAAAAUGUCAUGUCUGUCCUUUGAAAAACACACUAUCUAAUUGAAAAGGUCCAAGAUUCUGGACCAAUCCCUGUGACUAGCCUUUAGCUCAGGGGUGGGGAGCCUGCCUUGGGUGUGGCCUUUUGACUGAGUCCAAGUUUUGCAGAACAAAUCCUUUUAUUAGGGGGAUUUGUUCUGUGAAGUUUGGAACUAGUCAAAGGGCCUUAGCUGAGGACCUAGAGGGCCAUUUGUGGCCUCAAGGCUUCAGGUUCCCCACCCUUGCUUUAGUGUAAACCCUAGGAGGCAAAUUUGAUAAUAAAGACUUCAGAGACUAACUCAAGAGAAGUUUAUACAGGCAUAGUUCUUUGCAUCUGUUGAGGAUGUCACACCAUCUCUCAAAUCCAUCUUGGAAAAUUCCUAUAUAAGGUAGAUGUUCUAAGAGAUCCCCUCCCCACACAUGCAAACAGAAAAAAAAACCACAUACAUAUCUUGGUUCAUCAGGAACCUUUUAAUUUGGGACAGACUACCCCAUCUGAGAUGAAUAUGAAAAGCCUUAAGCUUCCACUCACAGGGCUCUGCUGUGGACCUGUCUGCUUUGGGAGAGAUGCAGUGUGUUCCCACCUCCUUAGCUUUUCCAAUGUUGACUCAACUCAUUGACUGAACCUCUUUUUCUCAAGAGGAAGCAGGGCAUGGUAGAAAGAGUAUUCCUAUUCCAUUUGCAGUCACAGGUCCUGAGUAUGAAUGUGUUGUGCUCUAUAUGAUCUUUGUAACCUUGGAUAAGUUAGAAAACCUCUCUGGGCCUCAGUUUUCACAUGUGCAGAAUGAGGUAGUUGCACUAGGUUACCUAUAUAGUUGCUUCCAACUCUAAAUCUAUGUUUCUGUCACCUAUCCCCUGUUCUAUAUCAAUAAACUCUCUACCUGUCGGUAUCA